rnacentral:antisense_RNA from 1 species
UCCCCAUUUACCAACCCAAGCAAGUAAGCCCACCUGAGCCACAGAACCUUCUCCCUCCCUACAAAAGGCUCAGGAGUAGGAGGCACCAGGGAAAAAAGAAAAGAAAAAUGACAUCAUGAAACCACUGGAAGUCACAAUUUAGAGAAUAAUCACAGACCACAAGUCAAGCCAGGAAAAAUAACUGCCUAGUUAAAAAAAAAAAAAAAAAAAAAAAAAAGUCUUUUUCCAAAAAGAAGAGGGGAAGAGGAGGAGGGGACCAUGCAGCAUUAUGACAGCCAACAUGAGUGCAGACCACAGGUGACUGCCAGUAACUGAAACUGCGGUAAGUGAAACCUCGGAUAUGGGGGGACUACUGAGCAUGGAAAGUGCUAUGACAGAAGACUGGUUCCAGCUGCAGUAAACAAGAGAGGAACAGUGACACCAAGAGACUGAUUUCUGUCCUUUGAGAUGCAAAGAGUAUACAAAGUCAACAUGAAGAUAAACUCUUAUCACCAACUAAAUAUUGUGCUACGAGAGGUAGUCAAAGGGCCAGGGCAGUGGCUCACACCUGUAAUCCCAGCCUUUGGGAGGCUGGGGCAAGAGGAUCGCUUGAGCCCAGGAGUUUGAGACCAGCCCGGGCAACAGGGCAAAAUCCGUA